UGACCUGCGGAAGGAUCAUUACUAGAGCAAAGGAUAGACAGCGCCCGCGGAGCUCGCUCCCGGGGCCACCCUACUCCGGUAGGGUUUAGAGUCGUCGGGCCUCUCGGAGAAGCUCGGUCCUGAACUCCACCCUUGAAUAAACUACCUUUGUUGCUUUGGCGGGCCGCCUCGUGCCAGCGGCUUCGGCUGUUGAGUGCCCGCCAGAGGACCACAACUCUUGUUUUUAGUGAUGUCUGAGUACUAUAUAAUAGUUAAAACUUUCAACAACGGAUCUCUUGGUUCUGGCAUCGAUGAAGAACGCAGCGAAAUGCGAUAAGUAAUGUGAAUUGCAGAAUUCAGUGAAUCAUCGAAUCUUUGAACGCACAUUGCGCCCUCUGGUAUUCCGGGGGGCAUGCCUGUUCGAGCGUCAUUAUAACCACUCAAGCUCUCGCUUGGUAUUGGGGUUCGCGGUUUCGCGGCUCCUAAAAUCAGUGGCGGUGCCUAUCGGCUCUACGCGUAGUAAUACUCCUCGCGAUUGAGUCCGGUAGGUCUACUUGCCAGCAACCCCUAAUUUUUUAAGGUUGACCUCGGAUCAGGUAGGGAUACCCGCUGAACUUAAGCAUAUCAAUAAGCGGAGGAAAAGAAACCAACAGGGAUUACCUCAGUAACGGCGAGUGAAGCGGUAACAGCUCAAAUUUGAAAGCUGGCUCUUUUAGGGUCCGCGUUGUAAUUUGUAGAAGAUGCUUCGGGUGUGGCCCCGGUCUAAGUUCCUUGGAACAG
rnacentral:rRNA from 1 species